rnacentral:rRNA from 1 species
CCAGACAGCCAGGAUGUUGGCUUAGAAGCAGCCAUCAUUUAAAGAAAGCGUAAUAGCUCACUGGUCGAGUCGGCCUGCGCGGAAGAUGUAACGGGGCUAAACCAUGCACCGAAGCUGCGGCAGCGACACUAUGUGUUGUUGGGUAGGGGAGCGUUCUGUAAGCCUGUGAAGGUGUACUGUGAGGUAUGCUGGAGGUAUCAGAAGUGCGAAUGCUGACAUAAGUAACGAUAAAGCGGGUGAAAAGCCCGCUCGCCGGAAGACCAAGGGUUCCUGUCCAACGUUAAUCGGGGCAGGGUGAGUCGACCCCUAAGGCGAGGCCGAAAGGCGUAGUCGAUGGGAAACAGGUUAAUAUUCCUGUACUUGGUGUUACUGCGAAGGGGGGACGGAGAAGGCUAUGUUGGCCGGGCGACGGUUGUCCCGGUUUAAGCGUGUAGGCUGGUUUUCCAGGCAAAUCCGGAAAAUCAAGGCUGAGGCGUGAUGACGAGGCACUACGGUGCUGAAGCAACAAAUGCCCUGCUUCCAGGAAAAGCCUCUAAGCAUCAGGUAACAUCAAAUCGUACCCCAAACCGACACAGGUGGUCAGGUAGAGAAUACCAAGGCGCUUGAGAGAACUCGGGUGAAGGAACUAGGCAAAAUGGUGCCGUAACUUCGGGAGAAGGCACGCUGAUAUGUAGGUGAAGUCCCUUGCGGAUGGAGCUGAAAUCAGUCGAAGAUACCAGCUGGCUGCAACUGUUUAUUAAAAACACAGCACUGUGCAAACACGAAAGUGGACGUAUACGGUGUGACGCCUGCCCGGUGCCGGAAGGUUAAUUGAUGGGGUUAGCGGUAACGCGAAGCUCUUGAUCGAAGCCCCGGUAAACGGCGGCCGUAACUAUAACGGUCCUAAGGUAGCGAAAUUCCUUGUCGGGUAAGUUCCGACCUGCACGAAUGGCGUAAUGAUGGCCAGGCUGUCUCCACCCGAGACUCAGUGAAAUUGAACUCGCUGUGAAGAUGCAGUGUACCCGCGGCAAGACGGAAAGACCCCGUGAACCUUUACUAUAGCUUGACACUGAACAUUGAGCCUUGAUGUGUAGGAUAGGUGGGAGGCUUUGAAGUGUGGACGCCAGUCUGCAUGGAGCCGGCCUUGAAAUACCACCCUUUAAUGUUUGAUGUUCUAACGUUGGCCCCUGAUCGGGGUUGCGGACAGUGUCUGGUGGGUAGUUUGACUGGGGCGGUCUCCUCCUAAAGAGUAACGGAGGAGCACGAAGGUUGGCUAAUCCUGGUCGGACAUCAGGAGGUUAGUGCAAUGGCAUAAGCCAGCUUGACUGCGAGCGUGACGGCGCGAGCAGGUGCGAAAGCAGGUCAUAGUGAUCCGGUGGUUCUGAAUGGAAGGGCCAUCGCUCAACGGAUAAAAGGUACUCCGGGGAUAACAGGCUGAUACCGCCCAAGAGUUCAUAUCGACGGCGGUGUUUGGCACCUCGAUGUCGGCUCAUCACAUCCUGGGGCUGAAGUAGGUCCCAAGGGUAUGGCUGUUCGCCAUUUAAAGUGGUACGCGAGCUGGGUUUAGAACGUCGUGAGACAGUUCGGUCCCUAUCUGCCGUGGGCGCUGGAGAACUGAGGGGGGCUGCUCCUAGUACGAGAGGACCGGAGUGGACGCAUCACUGGUGUUCGGGUUGUCAUGCCAAUGGCACUGCCCGGUAGCUAAAUGCGGAAGAGAUAAGUGCUGAAAGCAUCUAAGCACGAAACUUGCCCCGAGAUGAGUUCUCCCUGACUCCUUGAGAGUCCUGAAGGAACGUUGAAGACGACGACGUUGAUAGGCCGGGUGUGUAAGCGCAGCGAUGCGUUGAGCUAACCGGUACUAAUGAACCGUGAGGCUUAACCUU